rnacentral:rRNA from 1 species
CACGUAGGGCGCAAGCGUUGUCCGGAAUUAUUGGGCGUAAAGAGCUCGUAGGCGGUCUGUUGCGUCCGCUGUGAAAACUCGGGGCUUAACCCCGAGCCUGCAGUGGAUACGGGCAGACUAGAGGUAGGUAGGGGAGAAUGGAAUUCCCGGUGUAGCGGUGAAAUGCGCAGAUAUCAGGAAGAACACCUAUGGCGAAGGCAGCUCUCUGGGACGGUACUGACGCUGAGACGCGAAAGCGUGGGGAGCGAACAGG